rnacentral:rRNA from 1 species
AGGAUAAACGCUGGCGGCGUGCCUAACACAUGCAAGUCGAACGUCUCUUCUUUCGGGAAGAGGAGUGGCGGACGGGUGAGGAACACGUGGGAACCUGCCCUUCAGUGAGGAAUACCGGCGAGAAAUCGCCGACAAGACCGCAUAGCCCUCUCUGGUGAGAGCCAGAGAAGGAAAGCCUCGCAAGAGGCGCUGGAGGAGGGGCCUGCGUCCGAUUAGCUAGUUGGUGGGGUAAGAGCCUACCAAGGCGUCGAUCGGUAGCUGGUCUGAGAGGACGAUCAGCCACACUGGGAUUGAGAACGGCCCAGACUCCUACGGGGGCAGCAGUGAGGAAUUUUCGGCAAUGGGGGAAACCCUGACCGAGCAACGCCGCGUGCAGGAAGACGGCCUCGGGUUGUAAACUGCUUUCUUGGGACGAGCAAGGACGGUACCAGAGGAAUCAGCCCCGGCUCACUACGUGCCAGCAGCCGC